UACGGAGGGGGCUAGCGUUGUUCGGAAUUACUGGGCGUAAAGCGCACGUAGGCGGCUUUGUAAGUUAGAGGUGAAAGCCCAGGGCUCAACCCUGGAAUUGCCUUUAAGACUGCAUCGCUUGAAUCAUGGAGAGGUGAGUGGAAUUCCGAGUGUAGAGGUGAAAUUCGUAGAUAUUCGGAAGAACACCAGUGGCGAAGGCGACUCACUGGACAUGUAUUGACGCUGAGACGCGAAAGCGUGGGGAGCGAACAGG
rnacentral:rRNA from 1 species